rnacentral:snoRNA from 1 species
UAGAUUUAUGAUGGCCAUUGGUGGUACAUAUGAGGUACAAACAGAGUCUAAGUCUCUGAGGCCCAU